rnacentral:rRNA from 1 species
UACGAAGGGUGCUAGCGUUGAUCGGAAUUACUGGGCGUAAAGCGCACGCAGGCGGACCGAUAAGUCGGGUGUGAAAGCCCGGGGCUCAACCUCGGAAUUGCCUUCGAUACUGUCGGUCUCGAGUCCGGGAGAGGGGGGUGGAAUUCCUAGUGUAGCGGUGAAAUGCGUAGAUAUCAGGAAGAACACCAGUGGCGAAGGCGGCCCACUGGCCCGGUACUGACGCUCAGGUGCGAAAGCGUGGGGAGCAAACAGG